ACUUUCAUGGUGUAAAGAAAACAUGCCUACUUUCAAAUUAAGUGGGAGAUCUGGGUUCAUUUCCCAGUGAGAGUU
rnacentral:tRNA from 1 species